rnacentral:lncRNA from 1 species
GGCCAUAAGUUUUAACUCUCCUGUUAAAUGAAUUCAGGCCCAUAGUGGGGCCCGUUUAGAGAGAGAAGAAAAAAACCGACCCGCAUUAAUCACCGUCCGGUAAAGGAAAAAAAUCUAGAAUGUACCGGAUAUAUUGCUGAUGUGGUAUUUCCAACCAAUAAAAUUAUCCUUCUUCGAUUGAUAUGUCUAAUCAUGAUUAAUAAAAAAGGAAUAAUUGCUUAUAUACUCCUCAAAACUUCGAAAAUAUCUCAUUUAUCCCUUUUUUUUUUCUUUCCAAUAUAUCCCUCGUAUGUUCCUCCGUUAUUUCAAAAUAUUCCUACCCUUACCACCCAUUGAGUUAACGUGGGUUAAACGUGAGUUAAAUAUCUACCACAGUUUAAAAAAAUUAAAAUGCCACUUUUGCCCUUAACUUAAGGGCAAAUAAGAAAUGUUAGUGAUUGUAGAACGGUAUAUUUGAAAAGAAUCAAAAAGUAAAAUACUUUUUGUAUCCCAACUUAAGGACAAAUAAGAAAGGUCAGUAAUGAUAGAAGGGUAUAUUUGAGAGGGCAAAAUAGUAAUUUCAUAGAGAUAACAGAGUUCAUUAACAGAUUUCAACUCUAAGGAUAUAUUUGAAAUAGGUUAGAACGUAAAAAGGAUAUUUUCAAUAUUAGCCUUCUAAGAGUGGUAAAUCAGAAAUUCGGAAAGUUUUCAAGAGUAUAUAAACAAUUGCCCCAAUAAAAAAUUAUUUUUAUUAUAUUUUUGAUAUAACUGACUUGUUACUAAUGAUGUGGUACAAGUAUGACAUUGUAGGCCGCAUUC